GCUGCCCCUUGCGAGCUCUGUGCUGUCCCCACCUAGUGCACAAUGAACUCUCUGCUCCUCCCCCUGCUCCUCCUGGCUCUGGCCCCGGGUGUCCUGUCCCAGCUCCAGCUCCAGGAGUCCGGCCCAGGGGUGGUGAAGCCUGGAGAGACGCUCACACUCACCUGCACUGUCACCGGGGGCACCGUCACCAGCAGCUACUACUGGAACUGGAUACGCCAGGCCCCGGGCCAAGCGCUGGAGUGGAUGGGAUACUGGACCGGGAGCACAAAUUACAACCCGUCUCUCCAAGGCCGAAUCACCAUCUCCGUGGAUUCUUCCAACACCAAAUACUAUCUGCGGCUGAGCUCGCUGACAGCUGCAGACACCGGCACCUAUUACUGCGCCAGAGACACAGUGACACAGGGCAGAGCAGGGACCGUACAAAAAGGGGAAGCGGAUUCUAAGCAAAGCAGUGAGGCCAGUUCAGCCGGGAGUGCUGAGUGCAGACCCCGUCCCCUGCACACAGACUGUGUGUUUGUGCAUGUGCCUGUACAUGUGUAUCUGUGUGUGUCUGUCUGUGUGUGUUUUCCUUUUGGGAUCAUAUUGGCUGAAGUUCUCCCAGCAGAACAUUUCGUCGCCCGCACGGCAGCUCCUGUUCCAGUGGGUAAAUCGGCACCAAAGAGUCGAGACUUCUGUGUUGUCAUCAAAUCUCUCUGACAUUUACCUAGAGAGCAGGAGCUUUAACACCGCUCGCUGCUUCUCCCCUGUGCAUAGAGCUUCCCCUGCCGGCCCCAUUCAUCUCCCAUCCCCGCUCGGUGAGACCCGCAUGCAAAUCCCUGCCCGGGGAUUCCUGUUAAAUACAAACCCCUGGUUCUAGGAGCUUCAGUCUCCCCCCAGACACAGAACUGCCCGAUCCUGUCCCUGGAGAGUGUCUCCAUUAACAACCACCAGGACAUCAUCACUGCCCUUCUCCCUUCUCCUGUUCUCCGCCCCAUCGGGUGAGUGUUUCAUGGGACCCAGAGAAACACCGAGGUCGGGAAUGCACCGGUUCCAGGCCAGAUUCAGCUCUGUUCCCCCUUUCCCCAGGUGGCCUCUCCCCGGUACAGCUGGCCAAGACCGGCCCGGGAGUGGUGAAGCCCGGAGAGACCCUGAGUAUCACCUGUAAAGUCUCUGUUCCCGUCAGCAUGGGGGGGUUGCUUCCAGUUGAGGGCAGGAAUGACCCAUGCAACUGUUCUGUUUGAAAACGGACCUCAAAAUAAAGUGCUUCAUCUCUUUACUGUAUCUCCCCACCCUUUGCUUCUACAGUCACAGCCCUUGUUCUGACAGAGCCCACAAACUGCACCUUCUCUCCAUGCCCAGUUCCACCCGCUUUCAUUGAAACCCAUUGUCACUCUCCGGUGCCUGAAACCUGCCUUUCUCCCACUGCAGUUUGAGCUGCUUCCCCAUCAGACAUUUGCAGGAGAGAUUCAUUCCUCUGGACAACACGUUUACAUUGUUUAGAUUUAUUUUACAUGCCCAGCAUAGGCCCAUAGAUACCAGACUGUCAUAACUAGAAAGGGAAGGGUAACAACCCUCCUGUGUACAAUACUAUAAAAUCCCUCCUGGCCAGGGGCACCAAAAUCCUUUUCCCUGUAAAGGGUUAAGAAGCUCUGGUAACCAGGCUGACACCUGACCCAAAGGACCAAUAAGGGGGCAAGAUACUUUCAAAUCUUGGGGGGGUGGAAGGCUUUUGUUUGUGUUCUUUGUUUGAAGGUUGUUCGCUCUUGGGACUAGGGCUAGGUCUACACUACAGGGGGGGUCGACCUAAGAUACGCAACUUCAGCUACGUGAAUAGCGUAGUUGAAGUGGCGUAUUUUAGGUCGACUUACCUGGCUGUGAGGACGGCGGUGAGUCGACCGCUGCCGCGCCGCCGUCGACUCUGCUUCUGCCUCUUGCCGCGGUGGAUUUCCGGAGUCGACGGCAGAGCCAUCGGGGAUCGAUUUUAUCGCGUAUUCACUAGACACGAUAAGUCGAUCCCCAAUAGAUCGAUUGCUACCUGCCGAUUCGGCAGGUAGUGAAGACGUGCCCUAAGAGGGACCAGACAUCAAUCCAUGCUCUCCAAAUCUUUCUGAACAACUCUCUCAUAUUUGAAACUUGUAAGUAACAGCCAGGCAAGGUGUAUUAGUUUAUCUUUGUUUUCUUAACUUAUGAAUGUUCCUUUGCAAGAGGGAGGUAUCCCUGUUUUGCUGUAACUUUGAAACUAAGGCUAGAGGGGGUUCCUCUGGGCUCUCUGAAUCUGAUUACCCUGUAAAGUUAUUUUCCAUCCUAAUUUUACCAAGAUGAUUUUUACCUUUUCUGUUUAAUAAAAUCCUUCUUUGAAGAACUUGACUGAUUUUUCUAUUGUCCAAAGACGCAGGGGUAUGGGUCUUUGAUCAGUUUGUAACCAAUUGGUUAGGAUAUUAUUCUCAAGCCUCCCCAGGAAAGGGGGUGUAAGUGCUUGGGGGGAUAUUUUGGGGGAAGAGAAACUCCAAGUGUUCCUUUCCCUGUUUCUUGUUAAAUCACUUGGUGGUGGCAGCGUACCAGGUUUUAACCUAAGCUGGUAGAAAUAAGCUUAGGGAGCUUUCAUGCGGGUCCCCACAUCUGUACCCCAGAGUUCAGAGUGGGGAAGGAACCCUGACACAGACAAAUCACUGUGUAAUAUCAGAGAACAAAAGACUCUGUUGAUCGCUUCCCCCCCACACCCACAAACAGGAGAAGUGCAGCUGGACUCCUCCCAUCAGCUUGAGCUCUGGGAGAAUGGAAUAAAAAUUCAUAACAAGGAGAAACUAAAUCUUCAUGCUGCUUGGACUCUGAGAAACAAGGAUUACUAAGCAUAAGCAAAAGAUCCCUUGAGUUGAGCACAGUUAGCCCUAAAAGACACACAGAACUUGCUUCUUAUAGAAGCUUCUACCAUCUUUUAGAAGCUAAGACUGUAACUGGUUUGUGAGGGUAUGUUUACCUGCUUUAACCUUGUAAAUAACUCUCUUCCUUCUUUUUUUCUUAGCCAAUAAAUCUUUAGUUAACUAAUUAUAGGACUGGCUACAAGUCUUGUCUUUGAUGUCGGAUCUAAAGAGUAAUUGACCUGGGGUAAGUGACUGGUCCUCGGGGAAGGGCAAUAACCCAACUAUUGUUGUGAUUUUUGGUGUAAAGGACCACCUAUCACAAAGGCAAGCUUUGGUAGAUUGGCCCCACUGAGCGAAACCCACUUGCCAAUCCCUACCCAAGGGGUCUCCGUGGGGUGUAAAGGGGACACAUGUCCCCGGGGGGACAUUGCCAUGUACUGAGCGCUCACCCCCGUCAUCUCUUCUACCCAUCCCGGUAACCCACAUGCAAAUCCCUGCCCUGGGGGGUUCCUGUUAAAUACCAACCCCUGGUUCUAUAAGCUUCAGUCUCUCCCCAGACACAGAACUGCCCGGUCCUGCCGAUUGCGGGAUUGCCCUCAUAGGAAAACAAGAAUGAAAUCUCUGCUGCUUUUCCUUUCCCUGUUCUCCGCCCCUGCCUCUGAGUGUCUCUGGGGAAGGAGGGAAAUUAGGGACUGAUCCAUAGAAUCUUCUCUUUGUUUCCCUUUCCCCAGGUGUCCUCCCUCAGGUGCAGCUGAUCCAGACCGACCAGGAGCGGUGAAAGCCGGAGAGACCCU